UUGCGGUUAAAAAGCUCGUAGUUGGAUCUCGGCAAGUAGAGGGCGGUAUGCUUCGUAGCAUUACUGCCCUAUUACUUGUAGUUUUGCCAGAGGUUCCUGGGUGCUCUUAAUCGAGUGUCUAGGGAUGCUGGCAGGUUUACUUUGAAAAAAUUAGAGUGCUCAAAGCAGGCUAUUACGCUUGAAUAUUCGUGCAUGGAAUAAUAGAAUAGGAAGUUGUUUCUAUUUUGUUGGUUUUCGGAAAUCGACUUAAUGAUUAAUAGGGACAGUCGGGGGCAUUUGUAUUCAAACGACAGAGGUGAAAUUCUUGGACCGUUUGAAGACAAACUACUGCGAAAGCAUUUGCCAAGAAUGUUUUCAUUAAUCAAGAACGAAAGUUAGAGGUUCGAAGGCGAUUAGAUACCGCCCUAGUUCUAACCAUAAACGAUGCCAGCUAGCGAUCUGAGGACGUUUUUUUUGUAGACUCCUCAGGAAGCUUCCGGGAAACCAAAGCGUGUGGGUUCCGGGGGAAGUAUGGUUGCAAAGCUGAAACUUAAAGGAAUUGACGGAAGGGCACCACCAGGAGUGGAGCCUGCGGCUUAAUUUGACUCAACACGGGAAAUCUCACCAGGCCCGGACACUGGAAGGAUUGACAGAUUGAGAGCUCUUUCUCGAU
rnacentral:rRNA from 1 species